rnacentral:rRNA from 1 species
CUCAGAAUCAACGCUGGCGGCGUGCCUAACACAUGNAAGUCGCACGAGAAAGCGGACUUCGGUCUGUAAGUACAGUGGCGCACGGGUGAGUAACACGUGAAUAAUCUACCUUCGAGUGGGGAAUAACUGGGAGAAAUCUCAGCUAAUACCGCAUAACACCUACGGGUCAAAGCAGCAAUGCGCUUGAAGAGGAGUUCGCGGCAGAUUAGUUAGUUGGCGGGGUAAUGGCCCACCAAGACGAUGAUCUGUAUCCGGCCUGAGAGGGCGCACGGACACACUGGAACUGAAACACGGUCCAGACUCCUACGGGAGGCAGCAGUGGGGAAUUUUGCGCAAUGGGGGAAACCCUGACGCAGCAACGCCGCGUGGAGGAUGAAAUCCCUUGGGAUGUAAACUCCUUUCGAUCGGGACGAUUAUGACGGUACCGAUAGAAGAAGCCCCGGCUAACUUCGUGCCAGCAGCCGCGGUAAUACGAGGGGGGCAAGCGUUGUUCGGAAUUAUUGGGCGUAAAGGGCGCGUAGGCGGUUUGACAAGUCUGAUGUGAAAUCUAUGGGCUCAACCCAUAGCCUGCAUUAGAAACUGUCGGGCUUGAGUAUGGGAGAGGUGAGUGGAAUUUCCGGUGUAGCGGUGAAAUGCGUAGAUAUCGGAAGGAACACCUGUGGCGAAAGCGGCUCACUGGACCAUAACUGACGCUGAGGCGCGAAAGCUAGGGGAGCAAACAGGAUUAGAUANCCUGGNUAGUCCUAGCCCUAAACGAUGAUUGCUUGGUG